UACGGAGGGUGCGAGCGUUACCCGGAUUUACUGGGUGUAAAGGGCGUGUAGGCGGUCUCUCAAGUCCGAUGCUAAAGACCGAGGGUCAUCCUCGGGAGUGCGUUGGAUACUGUGAGGCUAGACGGUCGGAGAGGGCGGCGGAAUUCUCGGAGUAGCGGUGAAAUGCGCAGAUACCGAGAAGAACGCCAAUAGCGAAGGCAGCUGCCUGGACGGUUUGUGACGCUGAGGCGCGAAUUCGUGGGUAACAAAGCGG
rnacentral:rRNA from 1 species